GCACAAUGGGCGCAAGCCUGAUGCAGCCAUGCCGCGUGUAUGAAGAAGGACCUUCGGGUUGUAAAGUACUUUCAGCAGUGAGGAAGGUGGGUAUGUUAAUAGCAUAUUCAUUUGACGUUAGCUGCAGAAGAAGCACCGGCUAACUCCGUGCCAGCAGCCGCGGUAAUACGGAGGGUGCGAGCGUUAAUCGGAAUUACUGGGCGUAAAGCGCAUGCAGGUGGUUUGUUAAGUCAGAUGUGAAAGCCCGGGGCUCAACCUCGGAAUUGCAUUUGAAAACUGGCAAACUAGAGUACUGUAGAGGGGGUAGAAUUUCAGGUGUAGCGGUGAAAUGCGUAGAGAUCUGAAGGAAUACCGGUGGCGAAGGCGGCCCCCUGGACAGAUACUGACACUCAGAUGCGAAAGCGUGGGGAGCAAACAGGAUUAGAUACCCUGGUAG
rnacentral:rRNA from 1 species